rnacentral:misc_RNA from 1 species
AAAGUCGUAACAAGGUUUCCGUUGGUGAACCAGCGGAAGGAUCAUUACAGAGUUCAUGCCCCUCGGGGCAGACCUCCCACCCUUUGUCAUACAUUGCCUUUGUUGCUUUGGCGGGCCGCCGCAAGGCCACCGGCUCCGGCUGGUGCGCGCCCGCCAGAGAACCCCAAACCCUGUUUUACAGUGUCGUCCGAGUACUAUAUAAUAGUUAAAACUUUCAACAACGGAUCUCUUGGUUCUG